AUUGAACGCUGGCGGCAGGCUUAAUACAUGCAAGUCGAACGAGGGGCGGACGGGAGUGUAAUGUGUGGGAAUUUCGCUUAUGGAUGGGGAUAACUAGGGGAAACUGUAGAUAAUACCGAGUACCAUAGGAUGAGCCCAAGGUGGAGUAGGCAGUUGGUGAUGAAAAGGCUAACCAAGCAGACGAUCACUAGCUGGUCUGAGAGGAUGAGCAGCCACACUGGGACUGAGACACGGCCCAGACUCCUACGGGAGGCAGCAGUGGGGAAUAUGGCGCAAGGGGCGAAACCCGGACGCAGCCAUGCCGCGUGUAUGAAGAAGGCCUUAGGGUUGUAAAGUACUGUCAGCGGGGAGGCGUUACCCGCAGAAGAAGCACCGGCUAACUCCGUGCCAGCAGCCGCGGUAAUAC
rnacentral:rRNA from 1 species